AGAGUUUGAUCCUGGCUCAGAUUGAACGCUGGCGGCAGGCCUAACACAUGCAAGUCGAGCGGAUGACAGGAGCUUGCUCCUGAAUUCAGCGGCGGACGGGUGAGUAAUGCCUAGGAAUCUGCCUGGUAGUGGGGGACAACGUUUCGAAAGGAACGCUAAUACCGCAUACGUCCUACGGGAGAAAGCAGGGGACCUUCGGGCCUUGCGCUAUCAGAUGAGCCUAGGUCGGAUUAGCUAGUUGGUGAGGUAAUGGCUCACCAAGGCGACGAUCCGUAACUGGUCUGAGAGGAUGAUCAGUCACACUGGAACUGAGACACGGUCCAGACUCCUACGGGAGGCAGCAGUGGGGAAUAUUGGACAAUGGGCGAAAGCCUGAUCCAGCCAUGCCGCGUGUGUGAAGAAGGUCUUCGGAUUGUAAAGCNCUUUAAG
rnacentral:rRNA from 1 species